UACGGAGGGGGCAAGCGUUGUUCGGAAUUAUUGGGCGUAAAGGGCGCGUAGGCGGCCAUGCAAGUCGGUUGUGAAAUCCCUUGGCUCAACCAAGGAACUGCGUCCGAAACUGCAUGGCUCGAGUCCGGGAGAGGGUAGUGGAAUUCCCAGUGUAGCGGUGAAAUGCGUAGAUAUUGGGAGGAACACCGGUGGCGAAGGCGGCUACCUGGACCGGAACUGACGCUGAGGCGCGAAAGCUAGGGGAGCAAACAGG
rnacentral:rRNA from 1 species